ACGGGGAGCUGGGAUUUGGCACGCAGUCCUGUGGAGCGCCGGUUGCUGCUCUGGACGUCCGUGUGGUCGGAGCUGCGAAAAGACUGAUGAGCAACGGUCUGUGAGAGGAAGUGGAGAGUUUGAGGAGUUAGUAAACCUUCAACUACAUCAGUGAGAAUAACAGUACGGCCCUGGAAACUGUUACUGGUCCUGAACAAACAGGUGAUGGAGCGUCAGGUGAGAUGAUGACAGGUCAUAACUACGACUCACACGGGGUUAGAGUCGGUUCUCUGUGGUUCAGGCUUCUGGGUCUUAGACUCUUGACUGGAGACGCUGGAGAACAGGAACAGGUCGUCUUUGGUCUGAGAGAUCUGUGCAGGAAAAGAAGGACGUUUAAAUACGUCUUACCCUCUCUGAAGGAACUUCCACAGCUCCAGUUUAAGGCGGGGCUUCCCUUCUUCCGAGGGCUGGUGUUAGAUCGUCUCAGCUUGCUGCUGUCCCGUCCCUUCCUGCCUCCCCCGACGUUGUUCCCUUUGAAGG